rnacentral:rRNA from 1 species
GGCGUCCGAGUUGUAAUUUGUAGAGGAUGCUAUUGGGUUGCCACCGGUCUAAGUUCCUUGGAACAGGACGUCACAGAGGGUGAGAAUCCCGUACGUGACCGGCCAGGCGCUCUCUGUAUAGCUCCUUCGACGAGUCGGGUUGUUUGGGAAUGCAGCCCUAAAUGGGAGGUAAAUUUCUUCUAAAGCUAAAUACCGGCCAGAGACCGAUAGCGCACAAGUAGAGUGAUCGAAAGAUGAAAAGCACUUUGGAAAGAGAGUUAAAAAGCACGUGAAAUUGUUGAAAGGGAAGCGCUUGCAAUCAGUCUCGACGGCGGCUGUUCGGCCUCUCUUCUGAGUGGUUUAUUCAGUCGCCGCCGGGCCAGCAUCAGUUUUGGCGGCCGGAUAAAGGCGCGGGGAAUGUAGCUCCCUCGGGAGUGUUAUAGCCCCGCGUGCAAUACGGCCCGCCGGGACUGAGGUCCGCGCUUCGGCUAGGAUGCUGGCGAAAUGGUUGUAAGCGGCCCGUCUUGAAACACGGACCAAGGAGUCUAACAUCUACGCGAGUGUUUGGGUGUCAAACCCGUGCGCGCAAUGAAAGUGAACGGAGGUGGGAACCGCAAGGUGCACCAUCGACCGAUCCUGAUGUCUUCGGAUGGAUUUGAGUAAGAGCGUAGCUGUUGGGACCCGAAAGAUGGUGAACUAUGCGUGAAUAGGGUGAAGCCAGAGGAAACUCUGGUGGAGGCUCGCAGCGGUUCUGACG